rnacentral:rRNA from 1 species
UACGAAGGGGGCUAGCGUUGCUCGGAAUCACUGGGCGUAAAGCGCACGUAGGCGGCUUCUUAAGUCAGGGGUGAAAUCCUGGAGCUCAACUCCAGAACUGCCUUUGAUACUGAGGAGCUUGGAGUCCGGGAGAGGUGAGUGGAACUGCGAGUGUAGAGGUGAAAUUCGUAGAUAUUCGCAAGAACACCAGUGGCGAAGGCGGCUCACUGGCCAGGUACUGACGCUGAGGUGCGAAAGCGUGGGGAGCAAACAGG